rnacentral:rRNA from 1 species
GACGUAGGGGGCAAGCGUUGUUCGGAAUUACUGGGCGUAAAGCGCACGUAGGCGGCUUUGUAAGUUAGAGGUGAAAGCCCAGGGCUUAACCCUGGAAUUGCCUUUAAGACUGCAUCGCUAGAAUUGUGGAGAGGUAAGUGGAAUUCCGAGUGUAGAGGUGAAAUUCGUAGAUAUUCGGAAGAACACCAGUGGCGAAGGCGACUUACUGGACACAUAUUGACGCUGAGGUGCGAAAGCGUGGGGAGCAAACAGG